rnacentral:lncRNA from 1 species
CACAAAUCAUUCCUAGAGAUUCGAUACUAGAUACCAAGAAACUAAAUUCAAGAUACAGGGUGAUUCAGAAGUACAAAGAUGUCUUUGAUGAUCUUUGGAUGGAUGCAUCUGAGUUAAUUUCUGAAAACAAACAACGGAUUUGUUCCCAGUUGUCCAGACUCAGUCUUCCAUACCUGUGUGUAUGGCUGGAGCUACACAUCAGCCUAUGAAAAACCAGCUUACUGAAAAGCACCUGGCACAGCUUGAAAUAAAAAGAAGUAUGCUUUGAAGCAACUCUUCACUAGUCUCUUCACCAAAAAUAUCUGAAAUUAUAUCUUGACAUCCUUCAUUUGGAUCUGCCCAAGGAUCAUGUGUUGAACUUCUACCUGCCAUGACCUAUACCAGGAGCCAGGGAAAUGAAAUGCUAAGCCCUAACAUCAGAACUCACAGUCAAUUUACAGAGGAUUUAAUGUUUAUGUGAUGGGGGUCAUGAUGAGAGCUCAGUGGAGGGACUGAAAAUGAAGAAGGAUGUCCUGGAGGGGAGGAGGCCUGAGCUGGCCUGAGCUGGUCCAAGCAGAAAAAGCAGAAACCAACCAAGUGAAGAAGAAACAAAGCAAGCACCAAAUAAAGCACAUAAACAUACACACACACACACACACACACACAGAAUAAUUAUAUUUAUUAAUCCAAAAAUCAACACACAUACACACUCACUGAAAGUAAGGAAAGGGAGCUACACAGUCAGUUCUCAUCAGUUCAGGGUGUUCUGUUCUAUAAAGUUGCUGGGAAUGCUGAAUGAACAAGACUGAACAAUUGCUUCGAGGGCAGAAGUGUUUAAGUGACUUGCCUACAGUCACUCUCCUAACAGGUGCUAGAACUGGGUUUCAAGCCCAAACCACUGGCGGAAAAUAUGAGCUUUGUGCUCUGCUCUGCCUGCCCCCUGCUGCCUGCACCCCUUGGGCAUCUCCGUACCAGAGCUGCCCUGAAAAGACAGGCUGUCAUCUUGAUCCACUUUGGGUGGGAACAUGUAAACUGGGCGACUCAGGUUUCUCCACUGUGUGUAUGUCUGAAGUUGGCCAUGAGGCCCUGCAAGCACUGAUUCUGGGGUUACAAACAAAUUUUAAUGAGUAGGUGAACUCUCAAAUCUGGAAUGCACAAAUAACAAGGAUCAAGCACAAUAUCUAUGGUAAAAGUGCACUGAAAUAAUGGAAAAUGUCAGGAAGGAACCAAAGAACAAACAACCAAGAACUAGACGAUUUCAGGACAUCAUAUGUACUAAAACAAAUGAGAAAGGUAUUAUAAAGAAUAUCAAUUAGUGUACUGAAAAGUGGAGAAGGAAAAUUAAGUGCAACGAAACCUGAUCCACAAACAAUGACAGUGUCAGCUCCUCUAGAAAAAUGAGGCAAAAGCAUAUCUGUCAUUGGCAGCUAUGAUGCUAAGUAGGUUCACAAUUUAUUGGCCAUCCAAUGAACUACACAACAUGAUGCCCUGCCUUCAUUAGUAGGUUAUUAGGAAUUGUCACAAAUAAACCUCAAAGGUUAAUUUCUUAAUGGAUAAAAAUGUUUUUUUCUUAUUAACAUGACAGUUUCAAAUCUGGCAUUGUGUCUGCUGGGUGGAUUUUCUUUUUAUUGGAAUUCAGAGACUGGCAUCCCUUCCAUCUUGCAGCUCUACCAUCCAUUACAACCUUCUGCUCCUCUCUAUGCCUCUGACUGAAGGGAAAAAGGGGUUUUAGAGGGCACACCUACUUCCUAAAAACUUUGGGAAUUUUACAUAUAUGUAAGUCAUAUAUAUAAAUAAUAUAUACAUACACACACAUACACAUAUAUAUGACUUAUUUUUCACAUUUAUUAGUAAUACCCAGAUCAUGACUACAUAUAAAUUCAAGGGAGUUGGAAAAUGAAAUCCCAGUCAGGAUAAGCACUUCCCAAUACCAGCAUGAUAAUGUGAAAAAGGAGGAAUCUGUUUUGAAUUUGACAUUAACAUAGAAAUAUUAUCUAACAUCAGACCAUAGUUGAAUGUCCUUAACAACUGGUCCAGAAUCCAACAGAAUCCAAUCCAGGAUCCUACAUGGUCAUCAUAUUCCAACCUUUAAUCUAGAGGUCAUUAUUCUGUCUCUCUGUCUUUUUUUUUUUUCCUCAAAACAGAGACAAGCAAGUGUUCUGCCUUCUAGAUGUAAACAGGAUAAUUCUGGAUGGAAAAAUAAAAACAAUAAAGAAGCAUCAGCUUCCUACAUAAUUGGAAGUUUACCAAAGUACCUCCAUUUCAUUUAGCAGCAAUUUCCAGGCAAAUGGAUUCAUUAAUACGCGCGCCAGGUAGUGAUUGGCUAAGUAUGUUGGGAAGCAAUUUGAACAUUUGGAUGCUGAAGGUCAUCAAACGUUAUCCAUAGAAUGGAGAGGAGAAGAUUAAUGUCCAUGGCUGGGAGACAAGCAAACCUGCAGAUAUGCUUGGUUACACUAUUUCAUGCUGAUUGCCUGUAAGGGAGCAGGAAAGUCAAAGAUCUCUAUCAGCUGAAAACAAGCAGCUCCAAGUAAAACAGUGA